rnacentral:rRNA from 1 species
UACAGAGGUCCCAAGCGUUACUGAGAAUCACUGGGUUUAAAGGGUGCGUAGGUGGUCCGUUAAGUCAGUUGUGAAAUCCCCGGGCUCAACCCGGGAACUGCUUCUGAUACUGGCGGACUUGAGGCCGGUAGGGGUCACUGGAACUGACGGUGGAGCGGUGAAAUGCGUAGAUAUCGUAAGGAAGACCAGUGGCGAAGGCGGGUCUCUGGACAGUUCCUGACGCUGAAGCACGAAGGCCAGGGGAGCAAACGGG